rnacentral:lncRNA from 1 species
GGGCUGCAAAAAACAAUUUCAAAAUCAAAGCUUUCAAUAUCCAGUUUUGAACUAAACGCUUACUUGCAGAACUGCCACCGAACUGGUCUCGUCUCGACGUGCAAAGCGGCUUGAACAUCCUGGCGGUUGAGAUAAGGUGUCACAGAAUCAAGGCAAGCCUCGUCAUCUGGUCCUGAAAGUAAGUUGCAUGCUGGUGCAUAGAUGUUGUAAGGAGUAAUGUAGGCAAUCAGGUUCCGGAUCUGGGAGGUAGCAUUUCUACAUCUCGCUAUUGAUUCGUCAUCAUUCCUCCUACAGUAGGUCUUCUCUUCUUGGCAAAGCUCCUCAGAAAUGAUUGAAUGCGAGUACAAGUUCUCAAUGUUACCAGGACCGUCAUAGUCGACGUCCGUGGAAGGAUUACCAAUCUGAAUGUAUAAAAAUUAGCUUCUUUCAAUGUAGUGUAGUGUAAGAGUGAACGUACAGCAAACCCCUUCAGGUUGAUACGAUUUCCAUUUUGCUCAUUAUGUGAAAUGAUUUGCGAUGCCAACGUUGGUAUGUAAUGUCCUUCAGGGAAUCAAGUGUUACGUACUGUGCAAACCUCAAGUAUGCAUACCUGCAAAGCUUUCUCCAGCAACGAAGAAGUCAUUCUGUUUAUACUCAGGGAACUUUGUGAGAAAUUCGAGCAGAAACAGCAAAGUAUCGCUGGCUGCAUCCCAAACACGUUUUAUGAGAAGUUGAGAACCACAAGCAAGUGGUAUAGUACCUGUUUGAUUGUCUGUGUAAUUUCCCCCAUCAGAAAGCAAGUUUGUAUAUGAGAAACCGGUAUUAUAAGGGAUCUCCAAACAGAUGAGAUUCACAGCUGCACAUGAAAUCGGAUCAAGCAGAUGAAACUCCUAGGAUCUAGGAGAAAGAAAAAACCUUUAUUCCAAGAGUAUGGAUUGCGAACGAGCCCAGUGCCUGAGUUAUUUGUGCUGAAUGGACCAGUCUCUCCAAGAGCUCCAGCGCCAAUGGAUGAACAUCCCGGUCCUGCAGAAACGUACAAAUAUUACAAAUGCUGCGUAUCAUCAAAGAAGCACCUCCGGUGAGCCAUAAUACCAACGGCAAGGAAGACGCAUUUGGGUGAUCUGCUUCGAAGAACCAGUAGAACAGUGCACGUCCAGCUGUGGCGUUUAUCUCAAUUUGACCUGCGUACUGCUUAAAUCCAACUUCUGGUUGCCCAGGAAGCCCUUGCACAAGGUGCGAAGGGUCUGCAGCCAAUGCCAAUGCAACCUGGAGGAGCACAAGAAGAAGAUGAAUCCAUGUCCUCAUAGCUCUCACGAGUGGAUGAAGCUUAACUCUUCAUUGUCACGUUUGCGCAAUCCUUAUAGUCAACAAACCGUGUUGGAUCAAACUCUUCUUGCCACCUGUCGUCUGGAGCCGAAUUCAAAACAUGUUUCAAAUUUGGAGACUUCCGCAACCCAAAUCCUGAAAGGUUGCCGCUUCUGAGUCUGUGGAAUCCAACGCUUAGCUACAAACUUCAAGGCUACUUACACAGUAAAUUAAGUUUGGGGACCUGUUCUUCUGACGUGCUUUCAUCCUCGAAGAAAUGCCUUGUUCAUGCUGACAAGGAAUCCCCAUCUUGACAAGCGAUGUAAUCUGAGCUGAGUGCAUUCCGAUAACGAUAUUCUCACCAAUUCUGCAUCCUUGCCCGCGGCUGUGGCAAACAAUGUGGACAGAAACAAUUCAGAAAACCUACUCGCUCACAGCAAAUGGACGCUCUUACGGCUGGAAGCUGCCAGAUGAAGGCGGCGCCGGCUGUGUCAAAACUGCGAAGAGUACUAUCUGAUGAUUGAGAGAAACAAAGGCGCUAGGGUAACAUUAUGCAAUAAGCAAAUAAGCAAGGCUGCAAGAGCAAUUACAAGUACACAUCAACACUCUAAAAUAAUUUUAAAAGCACGAGUGCAUGCACUCAAAGAUCUUGAAGUCACAGAUCUUCAUUGUUGUAUUGAUAAAUAUUGUUCAUUGCAGAUGUCAUCAAUCAUCAUAGCCUGAAAAUCAGUAUAUACAAAGCCAAUUAUAUUUGGGGACAGGUUUGGGGACCUGUUCUUCUGACGUGCUUUCAUCCUUGAAGAAAUGCCUUGUUCAUGCUAACAAGGAAUCCCCAUCUUGACAAGCGAUGUACUCUGAGGUUUAUAAUCAAAGCCAAUUAUAUUUGGGGACAGGUUUGGGGACCUUUAAUUACUUUAAAGUAAUUAAACAAUCACUUAUUAGGAACAGUUGCAUCUCUGGUUAAUAGAGAGAUUUAUGCAACUUCUUGGUCACACCUGACAUUUGAUUUACAACAUUUGCACGACCAUAAAAGGAUUCAACUAAUUUGAUGAAGAUAGAAUCACUCAUAACAUGGUGGAUAGCAUCUGGAGAUCACAAGUAGUUGCAAAUUCACUAGAAGAUCAUUAUUAGAAAGCCUCAGCUUCCCACCAUCCCAAUGCGAGUCCACCAGCAGAUGCCAAGAGCCAGCACCUCAUUGUGCUUAAUCUGGAUAGUACAUGUUUAAGUAACAUAAGCUACAACAAGAGAUAAAAUUUCAAAUGUACUAAACAAAUGUUGAGUUUUAUUUCUUGACAAUCCCUUGUUACAGCUAAAACGACGGCAGUGCCUUGCCUUCGAUAAAGUGUUGGAACAAGGUAAGUGCCUGGCCAGGUUUGUCAACUGGAGGCUGAUGUCCAGAGCCUCUUACUGUCGCAAAUGUCAUUUCUGAGUACACUUCAGUCCAUCCACCAACCUGCAGUUUAAAAGAGUUAACUAGUAUACCCCCGUUCAACAAGAUUUAGUUGAUGCUUACCUGAUUUGUGUAGUUCCACGCAUACCAUGGAGUAACAAUAGUGAGAUUGAGUGCUUUGAUCCAGCUCCUGGUUGAAAGCGUCGAAACAAUAGAAUCCAAGUCCCCACUAUGAAUGACAUGUGUUAAAAGUGCUUCAGAUUGUUGUCUUGUAAUGUAAUUCACAAACCUGUAAAUCCAGAUUCUCAAGUCACUCUUGAACAAACUCUGGUAUACGGGAAGCAUUGAACGCUGUUUAUCGAGUGGCAAGUAGCUCCUGUCAAUAUCCGGGCUGCCAAAAACAAUAUCAAAAUCAGCUUUCAGUAUCCAGUCUUGGAUUAAACGCCUACUUGCAUAAACGCCACCGAACUGGUCUUGUCUCGACGUGCAAGGCGGCCUGAACAUCCUGGCGAUUGAGGUAAGGUGUCACAGAAUCAAGGCAAGCCUCAUCAUCCGGUCCUGAAAGUAAGUUGCAUGUUGGUGCAUAGAUGUUGUAACGAUCAAUGUAGCCAGUCAAAUCAAAGAUCUGGGAGCUAGCAUUUCCACAUCUGGCUAAUGCUUCGUCAUCGUUCCUCCCCCUCCCACAGUAGGUCUUAUAUUCUUGGUAAAGCUCCUCAGAAAUGACUAGAACCAGU